GUUUAAAUACCUGUGUUUACAACUUGUCUUCUGUAAAGAGCCUUAGUUCUUCAUAUUCAGUUGCUUCACCUCUCCUGUAAGAAAGGGAAACCCAUUUUCUGUCAAGAUUAGAGAGAAUGUGCUCUCUGAAGGUGAGGACCUGCUGCAUUUGGUGCAGCUCCCCAGGGGCUGGAAGGUGCGAACAAAUGGGUGCUGAGCUGAAGAGAUCCUCUGCAGUAAGAAGCGCUUUGAAGGAGGCAGGCAAGCAGCAUCACUGGCUUUUUUCAGAAAGAUGUGGAGAUAUUUCUGCUCAGAACACACCAGGCUGUGAAUCGAAGGGGUGCCACUUCAUGUCCAUUCAUUCCUUGUCUGAGGGGAAAAAAGAAACACUGGAAAAUACUGAGAACUCUUUGCCAGAAUAUUCUACUGGAGAUGAAAGGAUUUUUCAUGAAUGUUGCUUUGGGGCUUAAAUUUGCCUUUUCUGCUUUGAACUUCAGACAGAGCUGUUUUCAAAGAAAUCGGCACUGAAUUUUGUCCUGUGUCAUGGGCUGCAGAGCUCUCUCCCAUAUACUAUUCCUGCAAACUCGGAACUCUGCAGACCUCCAGGCCAGCUAAUAUUGGACUCUGAUCCAGAUGAGGGCUGCCUUUUUAUAAAGGUAAAGGGUGGAGCUCAAAUGAAGUGACCAUGGUGGUUGUCCUGUACAGCUGUAGCAUCAGAAUGAGAAAAGCUCCUCUCUGCACCUUCAGCAGGGAAACUUUUCUUAUCCUAAUGCUUUCUCAAAAAGCAGAGACUCUGACACACACAAGAG
rnacentral:lncRNA from 7 species